GUGGUGAUUGAUAAGGAGGUGUUUUCACAAUAGGUGGAGGAGUUGGUGGUGCCUUCACUAUAGGUGGUGAUUGAUAAGGUGGUGUUUUCACCAAAGGAGGAGAAGGAGGUGAUUUCACAAUAGGUGGUGUUGGUUUCACUGGUGGUGAUUGAUAUGGUGGUGAUUUAACUAAAGGUGGUGUUGGUGGUGCCUUCACUGGAGAAGGUGGUGUUACUAUAGGACUUGGUGGAGCUGUAGGAUUUACAUAGUUCACCUGCACCAAAUAUCACAUUAGUAAUUUUCUAGGUUUUCUUCACAAGAAAAAUUCUAACUUCUUUCUCUCAAAAAAAAUAAAAAAUGCUAACUUCUAGACACUCAUUGUAUGUAUAGAGUGAAUUUGACAAAAUCAUGGUAACAUUUCCAUCCAUCCUUCAAAAAAAAAUGGUAACAUUCCCAUUAUAAUUAAUCACACCCAUAAUUUUUUUUAGGUGAACAUAUAAAAUGGUAACAUUGUAUUUUUAAUGUCUCAUCCAUAGUACAAUUGUGGUGUUAUUGUAGAUGCACUCAUUUGUAUAUUUAAUGUCUUAAUUCAAAAUCUA